UUGCUAAAAAUUGUUUAAGACAGCGUUUCCAUUGCAAAUCGUAUCCGGCACAACUCUUACUUAAUUUUCAUGAAUAAUAUAUCAUUUGAAAGAAAUAUAACCCAAGAAAAAACUACAUAAUUAUUGACUUGACGCCAUUAAAAAAUAUUUGUCUAUACAAACAAUGAAAUUCAUGCUGUGUGUAAUUCUAAAAAGAUUUGUUUUCUUUUCUUAAAUAAGUUUACAAUAAUAUAUAAAAAAAUAAAAUUUAUUAUACUUGCAAACAUUUUAAUUUAUAAAGAAAAAUAGUAAAUGUAUCAUCAAAAUAUACAUAAUUUGUAUACGACAAUUCUACCAAAUAGAUCUGUACUUUCAUUAAA
rnacentral:lncRNA from 1 species